GAUGAAGAACGCAGCGAAAUGCGAUAAGUAAUGUGAAUUGCAGAAUUCAGUGAAUCAUCGAAUCUUUGAACGCACAUUGCGCCCCCUGGUAUUCCGGGGGGCAUGCCUGUCCGAGCGUCAUUACAACCCUCAAGCUCAGCUUGGUGUUGGGCCCCGCCGCCCCGGCGGGCCCUAAAGUCAGUGGCGGUGCCGUCCGGCUCCGAGCGUAGUAAUUCUUCUCGCUCUGGAGGUGCGGUCGUGUGCUCGCCAGCAACCCCCAAUUUUUUUCAGGUUGACCUCGGAUCAGGUAGGGAUACCCGCUGAACUUAAGCAUAUCAAUAAGCGGAGGA
rnacentral:misc_RNA from 1 species